rnacentral:sRNA from 1 species
GCCGGGCGCAGUGGCGCACACCUGUAAUCCCAGCGGCUUGGGAAGCUGAGGCAGGAGGAUAGCAAGUUUGAGGACAGCAAGUUCGAGGCCAGCCUCUGCAACUUGGUGAGGCCUUAAGCAACUUAGUGAGACCCUGUCUCCA